AAGUCGUAACAAGGUCUCCGUAGGUGAACCUGCGGAGGGAUCAUUACCGAGUGAGGGCGCUCGCGCCCGACCUCCCAACCCUUUGUCGAACUUACCGCGUUGCCUCGGGGCGGGCCCUUCGGGGCGCCCCCGUGGGCCACUUUAUCAAACCUGCAUCUAUGCGUCGGAGUCUUUGAUAAAAUCAAUCAAAACUUUCAACAACGGAUCUCUUGGUUCUG
rnacentral:misc_RNA from 1 species